rnacentral:rRNA from 1 species
GACGAACGCUGGCGGCGUGCUUAACACAUGCAAGUCGAACGGAAAGGCGCUGCUCUUGCUGGGUGCUCGAUAGGCGAACGGGUGAGUAACACGUGUGUAUCCUGCCCUUGACUUUGGGAUAACUUUAGGGAACUGGGGAUAAUAUCGCAUAGGAGAUCCUGAUGCAUGGGGGGGGUUGGAAAGUUUCGGCGGUUGGGGCUGGACUCGCGGCUUAUCAGCCUGUUGGUGGGGUAGGGGCAUACCAAGGCUUUGACGGGUAGCCGGCCUGAGAGGGUGACCGGCGACAUUGGUACUGAGAUACGGCCCAGAAUCCUACGGGAGGCAGCAGGGGGGAAUAUUGCACAACGGGCGGAAGUCUGAUGCAGCAACGCCGCGUGCGGGAUGACGGCUUUCGGGUUGUAAACCGCUUUCGCCUGAGACGAAGCGUGAGUGACGGUAAUGGGUAAAGAAGCACCGGCUAACUACGUG